rnacentral:rRNA from 1 species
CCUACGGGAGGCUGCAGUGGGGAAUCUUCCGCAAUGGGCGAAAGCCUGACGGAGCAACGCCGCGUGAUCGAAUGAAGGCCUUCGGGUUGUAAAGAUCUGUUGACAGGGACGAAUAAGCAAUGCGUAUAGCUUUGUGUAUGACGGUACCUGUUUAGAAAGCUCCUGCUAACUACGUGCCAGCAGCCGCGGUAAAUCGUAGGGAGCAAGCGUUGUCCGGAAUUACUGGGCGUAAAGGGCGCGUAGGUGGGCGCUUAAGUCAGGUGUAAAAACUCCGGGCUCAACCUGGGGACUGCAGUUGAAACUGGGGGUCUUGAGGGCGGGAGAGGAAAGUGGAAUUCGUGGUGUAGCGGUGAAAUGCGUAGAUAUUAGGAGGAACACCGGUGGCGAAGGCGACUUUCUGGACUGUAACUGACGCUGAGGCGCGAAAGCGUGGGUAGCGAACGGGAUUAGAUACCCGAGUAGUC